rnacentral:rRNA from 1 species
CAGUCGCCGCGGUAAUACGGAGGGUGCAAGCGUUAAUCGGAAUUACUGGGCGUAAAGCGCACGCAGGCGGUCUGACAAGUCAGAUGUGAAAUCCCCGGGCUUAACCUGGGAACUGCAUUUGAAACUGUCAGGCUGGAGUCUUGUAGAGGGGGGUAGAAUUCCAGGUGUAGCGGUGAAAUGCGUAGAGAUCUGGAGGAAUACCGGUGGCGAAGGCGGCCCCCUGGACAAAGACUGACGCUCAGGUGCGAAAGCGUGGGGAGCAAACAGGAUUAGAUACCCCAGUAGUCCCUGUCUCAUAUAC